AAAAAGAUUUUAUUUACUCAUUUGACAGAGAGAGAGCACAAGCAGGACAAGGGGCAGAGGGCAGAGAGAGAAGCAGGAAGCUCAAUGUGGAGCUCAAUCCCAGGCUGCUGAGAUACGACCGCAGCUGAAGGCAGAUGCUGAACCAACUGAGUCACCCAGGAUCCCCUGUGUGAUUUUCAGGAGAUAACAGCAGGUGGCACCAAGCAGGUGAAUCUAAAGAAAACUUGUUGCCGUAGCUUGGGAAAUUUGGCCUCCAGACUCUCUUCUUUCUGCUGCUUGAGAACAAAGCUGUUCACCAGCCUCUUUGGAUCAUUAUGGAAUACUUCAGCCAUGAGUUAUUGAUCUGGAGAUUUUAGGAUUAUUUAAACAUUCCAGAAUGGUAAAUCUCAUUGUCUGACUGAAUGAUCAACUCCUCAAAUCUUUAUCAAGCAACUCUUCUAUGCAAAAUAUCGUUAUAGAUCCUGGAGGAUGCUUCAUGUGAUCUCAGCCUAGUAAAGGAUGCCAAAUAUAUUUGCAACCAAUUCUAUUACAGUAGCAUUGAGUUCUCUGGUGAAAGAAUACUGGAAAGGGUGUGUAUAACUCAGUCUUCAAAAUGAGAGAGGCUUUCCCCAUGUAACUUCUAAAGUGCA
rnacentral:lncRNA from 12 species